rnacentral:tRNA from 1 species
GAACUCGUACUUGAAUUACAAGGGUGGUAAUUCGUGCGAGUGGUCAUGGUUGAAUUCCAUCUGGGAAUU